rnacentral:lncRNA from 1 species
GUGCUCCAUUUAGGCAAUUGAGGCUGCCCUGGGUGCCCGCCAGUGGAAGAAGGCAAUUUAUAUCUUAGAUCUACAGGACCGGAACACUGCAUCCAAAUACUAUCUUCGAAUGGCCCAACACUAUGCGUCUCUACAGGAGUAUGAGAUUGCCGAGGAGCUCUACGUUAAGGGAGACCGGAUCAAAGAUGCUAUAGACAUGUACACCCAGGCUGGCCACUGGGAGCAAGCGCACAAGGUAGCAAAUGGGUGGAGUCCUUGCUGCAGAACUCUGCCUUAUUCCUCGGCCUCUGACCUCCCUCCUUCACUGACUUCCCUGAAAGCUGUGAAAGUAACUAAACGGGCCGGGGAUGUAGCUCAGUAGCACUGCACCUGCCUGGCAAGCAUAAGGUCCUGAGUUCGAUUCCCAGUAACUGAUCCCUCAUCACAGGGAAAGAUGAGAUGAGGAAAGGCCUCUGUCCCUGAGCCUUUAAGUCUGAAGAGGGCAGAUGGGUUUGGGGGCUGAGCAAUCUGAACUACCAUUCCCAAGCUUCUGGUUACUUGGUAACUUUGUUCUCACCACUCCACUCCUGAGUGCAGUGAGUGUAGCAGGAGCAUGGUAAUGGGUGCGCCUGCCCUGAGCACGGGCCUCACAUGCCCUCCUGCCUUAGCAUACUGUGGGCUGCCUGUGGUCCUGCUGGAUUUGUAAUUCCCUGAUCUGACUGGUAGAGUGGCAGUAACCAGCGUCCCGUGACUUGUGGGUGAGUUGCAGUUCCUGAACAGACAGGUUCCCCUGAGGCCCUGCCUCCCCUGUGAAUUGGUACCUCAUGUCUCUGCACAGCUAGUGAUGAAAUGCAUGUGACCAGAAGAUGUGUCGGUGCGUACAUCACUCAGGCCCAGGAAAUGGAGAGGCAGGGCAAGUACCACGAGGCUGAAAGUUGAGCUGUGGCCUCAGAGGAGGCAUGGAGGCAGGUGAGGUAUCAGAGCUGGGAGGAAGGGUGGCAUCAGAAGAUGCAUCCCCCUGCCCAGAUGCCAUGGCAGCAGGUCUCUAGCUGUAUGAAGCCCCAGGUCUCUGCCAUCCCCAGGCUCUAUGUGACAGUGGAAGAGCCUGAUCUUGCCAUCACCAUGUUCAAAAAGCACAAGUUGUAUGACGACACGAUCCGGCUGGUAGGAAAGCACCACCCAGAUCUACGCAGUGACACGCACCUCCACCUGGGCAAGGAGCUGGAGGCUGAAGGCCAACUGCAGGAGGCAGAGUAUCACUACCUCGAGGCCCAGGAGUGGAAGGCAACAGUAAAUAUGUACCGGUCCAGCGGGCUUUGGGAAGAGGCCUACCGGGUAAGGGGUCCAGGGCCACUCGGGUUCCAGCGGUCCUUUCCCACUCUCGUGUGACUAAUUCUAAACGGGGCAGACCGUCUUUGAAAUACAAUGCAAACCAGUCUCUCUCGUUAGAAAUAUGUUCACAUCCAUAUGCACAAACUUUAAUUUGUAAUUUUAAGGGUUUGCGGACUUCCUGAAGCUGGUCCUUGCUCCCUGUGUACAUCAGCCUAAGUUAAGAGACCGUGACACUUGGCCACCUGAUUUGCAUCACAGCCGGGACCGUGAGGGCAGAAAUGGAAGGGAGCAACUCUGCAGUGGAGGAUUAUUCAGUGGUUUUGCUCUACAGGUGGCCAAGACUCACGGAGGAGUGAAUGCCCAUAAGCACGUGUCCUACCUGUGGGCAGAGAGCCUGGGAGGAGAGGCUGCAGUGAGACUGCUUCACAAGCUGGGACUCCUGGAAGCCGCUAUUGACCAUGCUGCCGAAAACUGGUGAGGCCUAAUACCUUCUCCAUGGGCCCCUGUAUGAGAAACAUGUCCAAAACCCAAAGCAAGCAUGAAGAAAUGCAGCGAGAGAGAGAGACCCUUGGGAGGAGAAGACAGAGCAGCAC